UGGGGAAUUUUGGACAAUGGGCGAAAGCCUGAUCCAGCAAUGCCGCGUGUGUGAAGAAGGCCUUCGGGUUGUAAAGCACUUUUGUCCGGAAAGAAAUGGCUCUGGUUAAUACCUGGGGUCGAUGACGGUACCGGAAGAAUAAGGACCGGCUAACUACGUGCCAGCAGCCGCGGUAAUACGUAGGGUCCAAGCGUUAAUCGGAAUUACUGGGCGUAAAGCGUGCGCAGGCGGUUGUGCAAGACCGAUGUGAAAUCCCCGAGCUUAACUUGGGAAUUGCAUUGGUGACUGCACGGCUAGAGUGUGUCAGAGGGGGGUAGAAUUCCACGUGUAGCAGUGAAAUGCGUAGAGAUGUGGAGGAAUACCGAUGGCGAAGGCAGCCCCCUGGGAUAACACUGACGCUCAUGCACGAAAGCGUGGGGAGCAAACAGGAUUAGAUACCCUGGUAGUCCACGCCCUAAACGAUGUCAACUAGUUGUUGGGGAUUCAUUUCCUUAGUAACGUAGCUAACGCGUGAAG
rnacentral:rRNA from 1 species